GGAGGUAGUGACAAUAAAUCUCAAUACGAAGCCUUUGGUUUUGUAAUUGAAUUGAGAACAAUGUACAAUCGUUAUCGAUAAACAAUUGGAGGGCAAGUCUGGUGCCAGCAGCCGCGGUAAUUCCAGCUCCAAUAGCGUAUAUUAACGUUGUUGCAGUUAAAAAGCUCGUAGUUGAAGUUAAGAUGGUUUGAAGGGGGUGUUAGUAUUCGUACUAUCUGCUCUCUUUAGAUUAUCGACUUCCAGGUAAGCUCAAUAAUCCCUCCGGGGACUAUUAAGCCAGACUGGUCUUUUACUGUGAGAAAAUUAGAGUGUUUAAAGCAGACUUUUUUAGUUUGAAUAGAUUAGCAUGGAAUAAUAAGAUUGGCUUUCAUAGUCGAUUUUUUGGUUUGUUUAUGAAAGCAAGAUUAAUAGGGACAGUUGGGGGUAUUCAUAUUCAAUAGCUAGAGGUGAAAUUCUAUGAUUUAUGGAAGAUGAACAAGUGCGAAAGCA
rnacentral:rRNA from 1 species